GACGAACGCUGGCGGCGUGCUUUACACAUGCAAGUCGAACGGUGAAGGUGGAGCUUGCUCCGCCGGAUCAGUGGCGAACGGGUGAGUAACACGUGGGCAACCCGCCCCUAACUUUGGGAUAACUACUCGAAAGAGUAGCUAAUACCGGAUACGAAGUCUGUAGGCAUCUACGGCUUUGGAAAGUUUUUCGGUUAGGGAUGGGCCCGCGGCCUCUACGCUUGUUGGGGAGGUAGUGGCUCACCAAGGCGCCGACGGGUAGCCGGCCUGAGAGGGCGACCGGCCACACUGGGACUGAGACACGGCCCAGACUCCUACGGGAGGCAGCAGUGGGGAAUAUUGCGCAAUGGGCGAAAGCCUGACGCAGCAACGCCGCGUGCGGGAUGAAGGCCUUCGGGUUGUAAACCGCUUUCAGCAGGGAAGAAGCGAAAGUGACGGUACCUGCAGAAGAAGCACCGGCUAACUACGUGCCAGCAGCCGCCGUAA
rnacentral:rRNA from 1 species